AUACGGAGGGUGCGAGCGUUAAUCGGAAUUACAGGGCGUAAAGCGCGCGUAGGCGGAUAAUUAAGUCAGAUGUGAAAUCCCCGGGCUCAACCUGGGAACUGCAUUUGAUACUGAUUAACUAGAGUAUGGUAGAGGUGAGUGGAAUUUCCGGUGUAGCGGUGAAAUGCGUAGAGAUCGGAAGGAACACCAGUGGCGAAGGCGACUCACUGGGCCAUUACUGACGCUGAGGUGCGAAAGCGUGGGUAGCAAACAGGAUUAGAUACCCCUGUAGUCC
rnacentral:rRNA from 1 species